UACGUAGGGUCCGAGCGUUGUCCGGAAUUAUUGGGCGUAAAGAGCUCGUAGGCGGUCUGUCACGUCGGCUGUGAAAACCCGAGGCUCAACCUCGGGCCUGCAGUCGAUACGGGCAAACUAGAGUACUGCAGGGGAGACUGGAAUUCCUGGUGUAGCGGUGAAAUGCGCAGAUAUCAGGAGGAACACCGGUGGCGAAGGCGGGUCUCUGGGCAGUAACUGACGCUGAGGAGCGAAAGCGUGGGGAGCGAACAGG
rnacentral:rRNA from 1 species